rnacentral:misc_RNA from 1 species
GUGAAUCAUCAAAUCUUUGAACGCAAACUGCACUCUCCGGUUUUCCGGGAGAGUAUGCCUGUUUGAGGGUCAGCCUAAAAAAAAUCGACAUUGUUGCUGUUAUUUAAUGGUGACUUUCGUCGGAGAUUGGGUUAUCUUAAACCUUUUUUUUUUUUGUUUUAAGGACUUAAAAUUUUUUUUUACCAUUUCCUGAAAGUUUUUAAGAU